UCCCAGCAGUCCAAGUCGCAGCCACAAUUGUUGGGUCUAAAACAUCCGUAGCUUGUCUUUCAAGUCUUUUGUGAAAUCGGGCCUCUUAAGGGUCCGGCGUGCAAAAGAUACUGUAAGGCUAGAGACCGGGAGACGCAAGGAGUACGAAUAGGGUAGCGGUAAAAUGUGUUGAUCCUAUUUGGACUAACAAUAGCGAAGGCACCUUGCGAGAACGGAUCUGACAGUGAGGGAUGAAGGCUAGGGGCGCAAAGUG
rnacentral:rRNA from 1 species